CUCUGCUGUCGGUGUUGGGCUCUUGUCAGUAGCAGACUCUGUGCUCCUGGGGGCAGCAUCGCUUCGUGCUCGUUAUGCCCUUACACCUGGGGUAACUGGUGCCUUGUCCGUCGCGUUCUUUUAGCUUUUAACGUAAGGAACGCUCGAUGGACACGGAAGGUCCUCGCUCUGUGAUGCAACUUGAUAGACGCUCCCAGGGCAGGUGCUGCUUUAAGGUGAAAGAAGAGGACCAUGUGGCUGCAUUUAGGUUGUGCUCUUCUGUCUUCUCUGACCUCAAUUCCAACCUUACGUGGCUGUCUCACAGGACUUCAAGUAUCAGGGCAGGUGACAUUAGCAGGGUGUGCCUACUGCCCACGGGAUUAAUGAGGUCAGGUCCCAUAGUCUGUUUCCUGGUGCUGUCUCCAUUGUAGAUGAACUCAAACAGUGGCCUUUCCAAGCACUGCUUAUCCCGUCAGGGCUCUUUGACAUCGAUGGCUUUGCUGACUUGAAUGCUUUGCACAUCCAUCAUUGCUAUGGCUUAAAGCUUGGCAAUGUGGCAGUAGGUUUUCUUCUAGAGCAAUGAACUUACCAACUCGUCUUUACAUUACUUGUCAACUUGAAUUUCAUCUGUUUGCACUGAGAUUUUGGUUUCCACCUAAGGCACAUAUUCGUAACUGUAUGUUUUCUGACAAAAACUCUCAGGCAUUGUUUACACACCAUCUCAGAAAGGUGACAAAAUCUGCACUGCUCUGAAUGGAAGCAUUGCCCAGCGUCUUUGCUGGUGUUUGCGUGGGGUGUCUCAAAGCUAUUGGGCAGCUUGACAGGCAUGUAGGUAAGAUGUAUCCCUGCCUCUGUCUCAAAUAUCUUUAAUAUCAAAAAACUGAUUCUCUGGUUGUACACUGAUACUGAAACUUCUUCUGGAUCUUGAAUUUGUUUCAAGGCACCAGUAGCUAUAACAGAGCCUCAGCAAGGCUUCCACUGGACGCUGCAGUUGUGAGAUUCACUGCUUUAAGUCUGAGAAGUGGUGCUGCCAAAGGGUGGUUGCAUUUGCAGUGACUGCCAGAUGAAGGACAGGGACCAAAGGUUCUCUGGAGACAAUUCUGUAGUAGAAGUAAUUCCUGAGUAGCUGCAUACAGUUUGGGUCUGAGGUGCUGAAUCAGUUCUGAUAUAUUUUCAACAGUUUUGUUGCAAGAGAUCUGAAUCAGAGAUUAUUGCUGAUAUACGGGAAGUUUACCAGUGGAAAUGCUGUUUAGGGGGUUUACAUGAAAGCUACAUGUCUCACAGGAAAAAAAGCACGCAUGAAAAGAAAGAAGGUCUGUAACACUGGAGAAGACUUCUGGUAUCUGGCUUGGCGUACAUGGCAGGAAUAUAAGAGCUGACAAAAUUCACAUAGGCAGUAAUCCAGUCAUCAACUCUCUGCCCAAGAAGAAUCCUCAUUCACCUUACACUUGUCUGUAUGUACAAGUAUCUAUGUAUCUAUGAGGGUUACAAGAAAUGGAAAAAGCAAGUUCUGCAAGUACUUUUUUAUAAGGAUUUGGGAGAUUUGUAUAAGAUAAAUACUGUUUCACUAAAGUAACUUCUGAAGAGUUUGCGUUCCUUCCUCUCAUUCCACCUCUGUGAGGGUGCCUAGUGAUAAAGCAAGGGGGAAUGGUUUUAAAUGCGGGGGAGGUUUAGGUUAGAUAGUAGGAGGAAGUUUUUCACACAGAGGGUGGUGAGGCACUGGAACAGGUUGCCCAAGGAGGCUGUGGAUGCCCCAUCCCUGGAGGCAUUCAAGGCCAGGCUGGAUGUGGCUCUGGACAGCCUGGUCUGGUGGUUGGCGACCCUGCACAUAGCAGGGGGGUUGAAACUAGAUGGUCCCUUUCAACCCAGGCCAUUCUAUGAUUCUAUGAUUUCUUAUGUGGUGUGUAAGCAAGUAAAUGUACUCUCUUUGCAGUUUGUGUAGAGAGGGAUUUUUAUUUUCCCUGCAAUUAAUGGUGUUCUGUGUGUACAGAAUGAGGCAAAGAGGCUCAACUAUGAUACUGCAAGAUGACUAGGUAUUCUUUGUUUCUUCCAAAGCAGUUGAAAUAGAAUUUAUUCUGGACUUUUUUAAUAAAGGGGAUUUUUACAUCUCAAAGGUAAGCGUUUUUUUAAAUUACUUCCAUAUAUUCAGAAAGCAUUUGGGUUCCACUAUCAAACUUACUGUGAUUUAAUCUCUCAGUACGAGGGAUCAAGUACUUACAUAGCUGUUCUUAAAAGCAGAGUGUAUACAGUGUUUAAGUUCCCUCAGACACCCCAGGAAUGACCCACAAAUUUUAGUAUGCAGGUAAUGUGCUGCUUCAAAUACAUUUGUUAUCACUGCUCAAUGCAUUAUGCUAGAAUUGUUAUUAAAAUGUCUGUUCUCCACUUCUACAUCUGAUUUAUUGAAGCCUACAGGGGCGCAUAAUCGGGAAGGCAUCAAACUUUAUUCUAUGUUCUCAUGGUGGAAGCAAUUUUAUAGUGAAUAAUUAAUUUCUGAUAAAAGAUAAUAAGUUCAGAGCAAAGAAUCAAAGGUAGUGUCAUCUUGAUUUGUUACUAAAAACCUGAUUGCAGAUAACUCCGUUACCUGGAAUCAAAUAAAGAUAUCACAUAUUAGCCAGCAGAGGGUGAAAAGCAUGUUUUGAAUUAUCUCCAUUUAGUUGAGCUUUUGCAUAAUUUUGUAUUGUUGUAAUGAUUCACAGUUUAGAAAACACUUUUUUUUUCUCUUCCUUUACAAUAUUGGUUUUGCUUUCUUUUUUUUCCCCUGGCAACACCAGCAAGCACUGCAGUGGUAGCAUUUGUGUGUACUUACUGACUGAAGUGAUGCAGGGGUGAAUGUUUCAAUAGGAACAAUUUUCAUGUUAAAGAAGCAAAUUAAAAAGUUCAUUGAAUCUGAAUUUCUUUACAUGUAUAUCUCCUUGCAAACUACAGGCCUACCUUUGAAGAUGCUUUGAAGAAGAACUUCAAAGAAAAAAGUCUGUGUUGUUUUGAGAUAUGCAUGCAAAUAAAAUCAUAUUCUCCUUUUUGAAAGACCUAUGCAGUUGACAUGAGGUGGUGAGUACGUUCUAGAGGCUUCCAAAAGAGUGAUGAAAGCAUGUUGUUCUUUGGCUUAUGUAAUUCAUCUUAGAUGUAUUUCACAGGGUGGUACUUUAUACUCUUAGAAGUGUGAUGCUGCUGUAGCGUCACCUUCCAAAAAACCCACAAAAACUAUACCAUGGGACAUAACCUCUUCAUGUGAGGGGAAGCAUUUCUCCCUUCCUCUCUCCCUUCCUUUUCUUCAUAAGCAGCUUAACAAAAUGUGUUUAAAAACCAUUUGGAUGUGGUGCUCAGGGACAUGAUUUAGCAGAGGGCUGUUAGAGUUAGGGCAGUGUGGUUAGGUCGUGGUUGGACUCGAUGAUCUUUAAGGUCUUUUCCAACCUGAGCAAUGCUAUGAUUCUAUUUAUCAGCUAUCUGUGUGCAGAAAAGGCAGUAAAGUUAAAAUGAUAUUCAAAGGAAAUGAAUUAACACUGGAAAUAGCAUGGAUGUAGAACUGUGUGGGUCAGGCAGGCAGUGCUUUGCAGAAUGGAGAUAUGCCAUGUAGAAAUGUCACUGAAAAAGUGUCAAUGUGUGUUUUUAUAUUCUUUCUCUCUUCACACUAUGAUUUGGCUAUUUAAACUAGUGGCUAGUAGAGCAGAUAAAUAUUUAGACUUCUGUAAUAUUAUCAGUUCCUGCAUCUCUAACAUGAAUAGUCCCUCUGAAGUCAGUACUGUUACAUAAGGGAAUGAGUAGCGUAACAAAUCCAUCCCUAUUAUGUGUGUAUCCAAUGUUAGCUUACUGCAAGAAAAUCAAUACUUAGUUACCAAAGCGUCAAAUGUGUGACCUGUUUAGAAACAGCAAACGUCUAAUGCCAGAAUGUACAUGUUGUAUAAACAACCUCCUUGGGUCAGCAGCAUAGUGAUUCACAUAACUACAAUGGAGUAACAAGGGCAGAAGGGAGGCAAACAGAAGGCACUUGCAGAAUCACUCUGAAAGCAGAACCUUUUAGGUUAUGGGUAAGUCUGUCUCUGAGGCUCAGUGCUUUUUUUUGUUCCAGUUUGCUCCACUGUCCUCGUGUAAGCCAACCUCUUUAGCUCCACGCCAGCGUUCUCCCAGGACUUCCUUGGAAGUUUUGUUCCAGCCUUCCUCACUAUCUGCUUGAGUUGUGCCUCAGUCCCUUCUCUUUGUCUAAAUAUAUGCCCCGUUGUCUCCAUCCCUGCUCUGGCCCCUUGUUUGAAGGGAGUCCCUCCAAGAUUGAGGUGACUUCCAUAGGAUCUAGGAACUCCCUGGGAAUGAAAGCUGAGUCUGCUCAUGUUGGCAACUUUGUUGAAUGCCAUCAACCAUAAAGGCAGCUUUGCUGGUCAGAGCAGACAUCCAUAUAGCUCAGUGUCCUAACUUCAAAGCAGCCACUUGCAGGUACCUGCAAAAAAGCUGGCAAACAUAUGAUAUUGCCUCUGAAUGCUUUUUGGUCCUCAGCAGGUUUGUGGUUGAGGACUGUAGGGAUCUUAGAGGCCUGAAUGGCUCUGACCAGCCCCUCAGUGACCCCCUGCCCCACUGCUCAUGGUGCCAGAAGACCCAUUUCAGCGCAGCCUGAGGCCUUCAAUCACUGCCUGAUCUGUGCUGCAAGGGUGCCAGCCUCCAGCUCUAGCCCUGCUGGGGAGGGUACCUUGUCUCCAGCCCUGCCUCCUGCUGCUCCUCUCUGGACUCCCUGCUUCAGGGCUUGCUGUGUCUGGGGCUGUUGGGGAACAGUAUUAUGGGCACCUGGUGCUGCUCACCAUGCUCAGACUCAGUGGGAUGGUGCCCCAUUGCUGAGGGGCACUGGCCCUCCCAGGGAGCAGAUGGGCCUCUGUCGCACCAGCCUACAUUGCUCUUCUCUGAAUCAGUAGAUAGUAUUGCCUUUUCAAAUUGCAGACAAAUACCAAUAUUUGAUCAGGGAAUUCUUUUUGUCUUUUACAGACAUAGGCUUGGUCAUAAAAAUUGGAUCUUCCUACUCAGCCUUGGAUUUAUACAAAAAGGCAUAGAGGAGAUAGUCUUUACUUAUCCUAAACUUGAUCAUCUGGGAGACAGUUCCAGCAGUGGUAUGUGGUAACCUCAUAACUCUAGUGCCAGUUAUUCUGGGAGUUUACGUAACCCCUAGAUUGUUCAGAAGAAAGGAUUCAUAAUAUUUGGUUCCAAGGUUGCACACACAGUGGUUUUUGACUAAACAUUGUCAGAUGUUCACAUUCCAGUUCCAUUCAUCUUGUGCUUUAACCUGUCCACCUCAGAAGACUCUGAAUUUUUCCUAGCUAUGUCUCCUGAGCAAAGGAAAUCUAUCCUCCUUUCUGAACACUGCAAAUUUUCCUCUGUUAUUUUUACUUGUGGAAACUUUCCCUCAUACUCUCCAGGCCUUGUCUCCCAGCGUCUUCUGGGUCUCAGCGUUUUUUUCUGAAGAGUUCUCUGAGCCUCUGGAAAAUCUCAGCUUUCUUUCCCAAGACCCCUCUGUUCCUGAAUAGGAGCAACUGUCUACUUCCCAACUCAAACAGUGAGUCUUCAUCCUUGAAUUUAAAGAGGUUAUUUUUUUAUUGCUAAAGAUAACCAGAAGUGGUCCUAAAUAUACCAAAAACAUGACUGCUAGUGAAAUUUUAUUGCCUGUGGCAUUCACAAAGGGAAGCAGCAACAAAUAACACUCUAAGAUAAAUACGGAAGGAGAAGGUGACAGAUCUUCUAUUUGGUGCUACUGAUAUUACUACUGGAAUCUUUGGAGCAGGAGUGGGAGACUGAAGAGAAGAAAAAGAGACUGCUAACACUCUUUCCAGGUUGCACUUGAUGUUAUUUUUUCCUGAGAUAUUUUAACAUCAUCAACAACAGCAACAACAACAAUAAAACAUAAAUAAAAGCCUGGAAACUAAUGGUGGGCUCCAGAGUCCUGAAAUUCACUGGUAACAUCUCAGUCCUGUUCAGUGGUUUCCCAUUGAUGAUGCUAGUGUAAAUAUCACAUCAGUUCCUUUGUUACCUCAAAUGCAAGAGGUCUCUGCAGAGGAUCUAACAGUCUGAUGCUAGCUGAUGAUGCAGGUAGGUGGCAAUAUAGUAUAUCUUUGAGGAGGAGGAGAAGCUGCUCUGUUUCCUUCUCUUAUAUACCUGGAAAAUCAUGUUGGAAAAGAAAAUGUUGUUAAUAUUUUCCCAGGUUAGUCUGGAUUUAAUAUGCACAGAAGUCACAGAAUCACAGUGGAAAUAGCUGCUGGAAAGUAACUCUUGAGGUCACAGCAUCGUAGGAUAGGGAAAGGUUCUCAGGAGAUCUCCAAGUCAAAGUGGGGGCUUUGAGCUCAAACUGGGUUGCCCAGGGUUUUAUCCAGCCUGUCUUGAAAUCCUCCAAGGAUAGAAGUUGCACACAUUCUGUAGCACAGCCUCUUGCUCAGACCAGAGCUAUUGACGCAUCAAUUAUUUUACAAUUUUGUCUUGAAACCUUCAAUGAUGGAGAUUCCACCACCUCUAUGGAUAACUUGUUCCAGUACUGCAUUACAGCUCUAGUGAAGAUGUUUUUUCCUUAGCCAAUGCUGAUUUGUUCACCUUCUAGAUAUAUAUCACAGAGUAAUUUUUAGUUAUGUAAAAACAUGCUAAUUUUAUACAUCAUCUACUUUUGUUCAGUGGAUAUGGAAGCUAUUGUACAUUUGCUUUUCUCUAGGUAUUUGGUUUAAAUGCAUUAAGAUAGUCUGAGGCAAAAGCAAUUUGGAACUGUAAAUUAGUUGCUUCAGUAUUAAUGCUCACUAAUACUCCAGCUGGAGAGGAGAAAGUCUCUCAUCGGUUCUAACAGCACAACCAGUACCAGAUGAGGCUGUGAGGAAAGGAAACGUUGUAGAAAGAAAGCAGGUAAGGAAAAUACUUUUUGCACGAGAAGAUUGCUGAUCCCCAUCUCUUUCCCUGUCUCCUUUGGACAGUGCUUGCUGACUUUUUAAAAUACUUGUACUUUACAAUUAACUGAUUCCAUCUACCAAACUGUUUCCACAUUUACUAAUUCAAUCACAAAUAGACUUUCAUACAGGAAUCAAAUGUCUUGUUGAUAGACUUGAGAAAAAAGCUUGGAAAUGCUUGCAUGUUGAAUAUUAGAUGAGGAUGAAUUUCAUAUGUGCUUCUAAAAUAAAUCAAAAUAAGCUUUGGGCAAGUCCUUUGUCCUUGGGCAACCUGCUGAAUUAGUUUUGCAAUUUCAUCACUACUUUUAAAAUGUAACAGUGUUUACAAUCACUUCAAGAUCAGCAACAUGGAAUCUACAGAAGGUCAGAAAAACUGAACUCUUAUAAAAAAAAUAGGACGUAAAUUCUGGGAACGGGAGCAGAUCAGAAAAUGUGGAAAGAAGGCUUUUCUUGUAUACAACUGGGGACUUAGUGCAGUCUGUGCUUUCUGCUAUAUGUAAUAGAAAUGAGAAGUGAUAAGAAUCGUUGCAUUUUAUUUAACCUUACAUUCAUAACAUCUGCCCUUUGCAGGCACCUGCUCUUUCCCCCUUUUAAAUAUUGAAAUAUUGUUUAAAUAUUGAAUGUUGUUUAUGAUUAAUUCAGUACAUCAAGGUAGAACAUGCAGCUCAUAUCACAGGAACGUGACAUCUUUUGUUUUCUUCAGUCUGGUUUUUGAACUGUUCAGUAAUUUAUUAUGGUUAUUAUAAUGGAGAAAGACAUUGCAGAAAAAGAAGCCAGUCAAGGUAGCAACUGAAACAAAAUACUUGCUCUGUUGUUUUAAUAGCUUGGCUAAGUGCCUACAAAAAUGUUUUAUUUUCUUUUCCAUUGUUUACACUUACUGACAGUAGGAUAGACUACUAUUCAGAAUCCCUCUAUGAACACAGCAGUGUUGCCGGUACGGUGUUGUUCCCUGCCACUGAGUCAUACUGCUAGUACAGCAUAACUCAGGGAUGCUGGGGAAGGUCCAGUAAAUGAAGUUUAACUUUUCAAAGCAAUUUCAGCCUCAGUUCUAGUGUGCACAAACAAAGGAUUAUGGACAUAGUCAUCUGACCACACCCCUGAAUCUUCAGUCGUGGCCAAUAAUCCCAAUGGUACUAAAGCGUACAAACUCAGGGAGCGCACAAAGGCUGUUCUUAUCACAAAGAUCAUGAAACAGAUGGAUACAGGACAAAAGAGAAAAAGGAAAGGAAACAGCUAGGCAAUCUGGAUGUGUGUGAUCCAACAUCCUAAGCUUAAGGACGGCAGCAAGCAAUUUUUGUUCUGCAGGCACCACGGGCAAGGAUGACUUAGUAGGCUGCAGGAAAAAAUUGUAGGCUAACUUACUGACACACUCUUUGGCCCAAAGGAAAAUAUAGGCAAAGUUAUCAUUUUCUUCUGGAGUCACACUUUUUUUUUUUUUUUAAUGGUAAACUCCAUGUGCAGAAUGAUAGACCUGACUUAGAAACUUCAACUCAAGAAAAUCCAGUUUCUAACUGAGAAGAUUUUGCCUGCAAAGAACUGUGAAAGCAAGAAGGUAGACUUCUUUUACUGAAUGUGCUAAGAGCGUGAAAUUUCACUUCCAAACUCAGAUUAUUAUCUUAAGAUCAAAGUAGGACAGUGAGUUGUUCACAGUCUGCAGAAUUUCCUGGUCAGAUGUGUAGUUGGCCUCAAGUCGCUUCUUUGUGUUGCUUGUUAAAAUGAGCCCUCUUCCCCCUCUCUAGCUUGCUGGCUCAGGAUAAAUACGACCACCAUGCCUUAAAAGCAUUGAAUGACUAUUUUUUUCCAGGCUAGAAGACAUAUUGCUGGGAAGCUCUGCUAACUACGUGAAAUCUUCUCCCAGACAUUGGAAGUUGCGUUUGUAAUUUUAGACUCUGUUUUCUUAGAUAUACACAAAUGCAGAACUAAAAAUAAACAUCUCAUCCUCAAGAGAAUACACAUACACAGAAGUAUUUGUAUAGAAAACUGUUCCUAAGCAGUGCAUACACUACACAGUAUAGUGUGUAUAUAGUGUAUACCAGAGGUUUCUUUUUAAUGUGAUUUUGCUCCAAUAACUGUAAUUAGGAAAGAAGUUAAAGAUUUAAAGCGUUGUACUUUGCAUUGGAAAUACCAAACGAAAAUGGCAGCAAGAGGUCUCAGGUCCAGACGGAUCACCUGUGAUGUGUGCGCUGUAUUCCUGUGUAACAGAUGGUCUGUGUCACAAAGGGAUUGAGAGUGAAUGCAUGAUGGAAUACCAUGGAUGUGAGAGCAGUGCUAUUCCAUUAAACUAUAUAGCCUAAUAGUUUAGAGUAUGGUGAAGGACUUAUUAAACUAAGAUUUUACCAUUUUCUUGAAUUUAUCUUAGCAGAGUAGUAGGUUUAAAUGAAAACUCCUUAUAAAGUGCCUUAAAAACAGCUAUGUAGAACUGUAGGUUACAUAUAAAUUACAGUCUUCAGAGUAAAAUAACUCGCUCUACAUAUUUCCAGGUUUUAGUUCUUGGUCCCAAUAACUGGUGAUCCAAACUGUACUUAUAACUGUCAUUAAAUAUAAAGCAUAGGAAAGCUAACACAUUGAGGAACCAAGAAGUGGCAUCAUUGUGAAAGAGCGUUUAGAUUUUUUCUCUGUGUAUACAACCAAGGAUUAAAUUUGCAAACAUUUCUGAAAGAGACCAUAAGGGAAUCUCCUGGAUGGAGGCUCAAAAGCUUUUCAUUUUUCCCUUCUAAACAAGUUAUUUCUUGGGCUGAACUUCUUUAACGCUUUCUUUCACUCUACUUUUAAGAAAAGCUGAACGGAACUUCAUAAGGUGUAUUUCACUACAUUUAACAGUUGUUUCCAGUGUUAUUAAGCGAAGUGUUUAUAUGUUGAUUUAUUUUUUUCUUGAGCUAACUAAAACAUGAUUUUGCCAUGAAAUGCCUGAAAGAUGGCAUAUUCAUAGUCCUCUGAGGAAUGCGUACUCUGCCAAGCCCAAAAAUGCUUGGAACAGAAAGAAGGUCUCAGUGAAUCUUGCAGGCUGUGCCACGUUUUGGUACUGAUUUAUGAGCGACAUGCCAAUGCUUAGCUUUACAGUUUGUCUGAUAUAUGCAAUGAAGGAAACACAGCUGCAUUUAUUACACUGAUUGCAUGAUCACAUAUUUGGUGCCCACAAAUUUUUGGGAAUAUUCAGACAGUAUAUUGUAAAAAUCCUACUUUCCCUCACUUUCCUGAAUCAUAGAAUCGUAGAAUCACAAAGGUUGGAAAAGACCCACAGGAUCAUCCAGUCCAACCAUCCACCCAUCACCAAUAGUUCUCAUUAAACCAUG
ensembl:lncRNA